UACGGGGGGGGCAAGCGUUGUUCGGAAUUACUGGGCGUAAAGGGCUCGUAGGCGGCCAACUAAGUCAGACGUGAAAUCCCUCGGCUUAACCGGGGAACUGCAUCUGAUACUGGAUGGCUUGAGUUCGGAAGAGGCGAGUGGAAUUCCUGGUGUAGCGGUGAAAUGCGCAGAUAUCAGGAGGAACACCAAUGGCGAAGGCAGCUCGCUGGGACGGUACUGACGCUGAGGUGCGAAAGCGUGGGGAGCAAACAGG
rnacentral:rRNA from 1 species